UUCAUAUUUUGCAUAUAAGAAUCAAUGAAUUCCUGCCUUCAAAGUGAAAUUCAGUCACACUGAAUUUAAAUUGCAAAGACAUUUAGAAGUGCAAGCCAUUUUACUAUUUUUUGUUUAUGCGUUGACUCAGCAAUGUAUUUAAACCUUGUUAUAACUAAAAGUGGUUGCCUUCUUCCAUUGGAUGCCUACAGACUUAAAGGUAAAUGUGGUUUAAAUAUUAUUCUGACAUACAACCACUGAGUUGUGUCUAUGCACUUGAAAAGCAAAGAAUAAAUUGUUUUGAAGAUACAGAAAUCAUGUUACAUUGCUAUGCCUGCUAAUUUUAAAAUUUAUUUCUUAUUUAGAAAGAAUUACAUAAUAUCUGAUUCAGAGAAUGAGUCCUCCUGUGGGGAUAUGCAGCGUUUCUCCAUUUUAACCCUGUGUACAGAACGACCUGCAAGGACUCUGCAGGAUCUCCUCCAGCUCUUCUGUGUUCAACAGCUGAGCCAAUGACGUUGAGAAUUGAGGCCCAUUGCUUGCAGAAGGUAUUUAUCACUGAAUGAGCAUACAAAAAGCACUGAACUUGUAAGCAGACAAAACUGUUAGCAUUUCAAAAGCAACUGUUUUAAGCUGCUGUCUCUUUUCUUACUUUCAGCUGUGUUGGUCCACCAGCAUUGACCUGUUACAUAAAGGAUUUAUUAACUUUGGAGAAUGCAGACCUUAUGCAA
ensembl:lncRNA